GUGAGGUCAGGGAACCCCUCAGGUGUCACAGGUGGGGUCAGGGAGCCCCUCAGGUGUCACAGGGAACCCCUCAGGUGUCACAGGUGAGGUCAGGGAGCCCCCCCAGGUGUCACAGGUGAGGUCAGGGAGCCCCUCAGGUGUCACAGGGAGCCCCUCAGGUGUCACAGGUGGGGUCAGGGAGCCCCUCAGGUGUCACAAGGAGCCCCUCAGGUGUCACAGGUGAGGUCAGGGAGCCCCUCAGGUGUCACAGGUGGGGUCAGGGAGCCCCCCAGGUGUCACAGGUGAGGUCAGGGAGCCCCCCAGGUGUCACAGGUGAGGUCAGGGAGCCCCCCCAGGUGCGCCCGGGUGCCCCCCAGGUGCAUCAGGUGACCCC